CUUACAUUAUACCUCGAGUAAUAAAGAUAGUGCUUAAUAGUUUCCAGAAGGGUUCAUAUGUUAAUAUCUAUAGGAUGGGAUGUGAAAGUAACAUCAAUCGAAAGGAAAGCUGGUUGCUAGUUGCGAAUAAUUACAAUAAUUUGCAAUUCAAACGGACGAAUAUAGAGAUAAAUAUCUUAAAAUGAUAUUUAAUAUUCAUUUUAUGAUGAAUUCUUCACUAUAAGGACACGUAAAGCGGUGAAGAUGGAGAAAGUAUUAGACAAGUACUGAAAUGACGAUCAACGUAGGCAUGUUGGCGCAAUUCUGCAAUUCCACGGCCAACAUUCGAAUCUCGCCGCUGCGAACCAUAGUAAAAGCGCGCCCAUCAUGCUCAAGCAUAUAUGCGCAGCACCUUGAAAACUGAGAAAAGCUUGAUGCAUAUACACGAUAACGUUCACGGGUACGUAAUUAACGCGAAAUGGAUAUUCAGCUUUCGAUGGAAAGGUGAUCGGUAAGACUACAGGUCCUAACGAAAAACAUAUCGCGGUCGCGUACAUCCACGCUAUGGAA